CCCUCAGACUUACUUUAUCGGGAGUUGGGGCUAAGAGGCCUCCUCAGUCCUACAGGCUGUGAUGAGCAGGCGACUUCCUUCUGUAGGAGGGAGGAGAGGUGCCUCAUUACUUCCCUUUCUUCUCCGGAUAGCUCGGGCUGCCUCCUGCAGUGAGGAAAACCCAGAUCUAAGGGUCGUUUUCAGACUCCAGGCAGUUGCCAGUCGUUCAGCAGCCUCUAGCUCCCCCUAAGCAAACUACCACGUUCUCAAUGGAGGCACAGACAAGUACCAUUUUUGAAGCGGUCUAAAAACAGGAGUAUGGCUUUUGAGAAGAGCUAAAAGAGGACCUAGAAGAAAUGCCACGUUCUUGGUACAAAGAGGUAGUUUGUGGUAAGAAGCUUAACAUUUAGAAUUUCAAGGUGUACAGAAACAUCGAAAGCGGUUAUUCAAAUGCAGCUCCAAGAAGUUAGCGGAAGCUGGGCAUGGUGGUACGUGUUUAUAACCCCAACAUAGAAGAGGUGGAGGCAGGGGGAUCCGGAGUUUAAGGUCAUUCUCCACCACAGAGCAAGUUGGAAGACUACCUGGGCUCCAUGAGACUAGGUUCUAGGUGCUCCCAACCCCCAACAGGAGAAGAAGGCAGGAGCAUAAAUUCAAGCAAAUCAGAGAACUCUUAACGUAGAAAAGGCAGUUCCAUGAUCGACUCUGUUACCAAAGACUUAACAUGUCCACCACAGUGUUAUUUAUUGUGGCAAAUUUUUUGGAAAUAGUUUUAUUGCCUGAUAACUAAAUGAUAAAUAAAUUAUGAUACAAUGAAGUUGAGUAACUGU